GGAAGAAUCUGGAGACAGGUGCUGCAUGGCUGUCGUCAGCUCGUGUCGUGAGAUGUUGGGUUAAGUCCCGCAACGAGCGCAACCCUUGCCUUAGUUGCCAGCAGUUCGGCUGGGCACUCUAAAGGGACUGCCGGUGUUAAACCGGAGGAAGGUGGGGAUGACGUCAAGUCCUCAUGGCCUUUAUGACCAGGGCUACACACGUACUACAAUGGCCGAUACAAAGGGCAGCGACACUGCGAGGUGAAGCCAAUCCCGUAAAAUCGGUCUCAGUCCGGAUUGGAGUCUGCAACUCGACUCCAUGAAGUUGGAAUCGCUAGUAAUCGUGGAUCAGCAUGCCACGGUGAAUACGUUCCCGGGCCUU
rnacentral:rRNA from 1 species